rnacentral:misc_RNA from 1 species
AACUUUUGACAACGGAUCUCUUGGCUCUCGCAUCGAUGAAGAACGCAGCGAAAUGCGAUACGUAAUGUGAGUUGCAGAAUUCAGUGAAUCAUCGAAUCUUUGAACGCACCUUGCGCCCUUUGGUAUUCCGAGGGGCACACCCGUUUGAGUGUCGUGACAUGCGCAAAACCUUCUCGGUUUCUCGACCGGGAAGGCUUUGGACUUUGGAGGCUUUUGCUUGCGUUCCUUUGUUGGAGCCAGGUCCGCUGAAAUGAUUUAAUGGGGUCUGGUUGGCCGAUCCUUGCUGUGCGAAGAUGUUUUCUACGGCUUGGGUUUUAGCUCUCCGGCUUCUAACCGUCUGACAGUAGACAAAUGGUCCACUCGACCCACAAACCUUGACCUCAAAUCGGGUGAGACUACCCGCUGAACUUAAGCAUAUCAAUAAGCGGAGGCU